AUGGCUGCUGUUUUACAGUCUCCUAACCAAUUGUGCUAUUAUGUGUUUUUUUUUGUUGCGAUAUUUGUGAAUUAUUUUGUACAUGUUUCUGCAACCGUAUCUUACGGCAGAAAAGAGCUUCUAGAUAUCAGGACAGCGAUCACUCACCUCGGAUUAGACAAAGAUUUUUACAACAACAGCAGCAAGCAGGAUUCACACGAUAUUCUCGAAACACCCCACAGGGCAGACAUCCCAAUUAUUUGCAAAAGGAAGCGACACAGAGGAAGAAGAGCGGGAUGCCUCGUCCGGACCCGAAGAAGGCAACUAGGAAUGCUGCCGUUACCGUCAAUAUUACUCGCCAACGUGCAAUCAUUGGACAAUAAACUAGACGAGGUACGAUCACGAAUAUCCUACCAACGGGACAUCAAAAACUGUAAUAUCCUAUGUUUCACGGAAUCGUGGCUGAAUGACGACAUGGAUAUUCAGCUUGCGGGAUACACGCUGCACCGGCAGGAUAGAACAGCACACUCCGGUAAGAUGGGGGGGGGGGGGGGUCUUUGCACAUUUGUAAACAACAGCUGGUGCACGAAAUCUGAGGAAGUCUCUAGAUUUUGCUCGCCUGAAGUAGAGUAUAUUGUGAUAAACUGCAGGCCACACUACUUGCCUAGAGAGUUCUCAGCUAUACUUUUUGUGGCUGUUUAUUUACCACCACAGACAGAUGCCGGCACUAAGACCGCACUCAGGCAGCUGAAAAAGGAAAUAAGCAAACAGGAAACCACUCACCCAGAGGUGGUGCUCCUAGUGGCCGGAGACUUUAAUGCAGGGAAACUUAAAUCAGUUCUACCAAAUCUCUAUCAACAUGUUAAAUGUGCAACCAGAGGGGAAAUAAUUCUAGAUCACCUGUACUCCACACACAGAGACGUGUACAAAGCUCUCCCUCGCCCUCCAUUUGGUAAAUCCGACCACAACUAUCCUCUUGAUUCCUGCUUACGAGCAAAAAUUAAAGCAGGAAGCACCAGUGGCUUGGUCUAUAAAAAAAAAUGGUCAGAUGAAGCAGAUGCUAAACAACAGGACUGUUUUGCUAUCACAGACUGGAACAUAAUCCGGGAUUCUUCCAAUGACAUUGAAGAAUACACCACAUCAGUCACUGGCUUUAUCAAUAAGUGCAUUGAGGACGUCGUCCCCACAGUGACUGUACGUACAUACCUCAACCAGAAGCCAUGGAUUACAGGUAACAUUCGCACUGAGCUAAAGGGUAGAGCUGCCGCGUUCAAGGUGCGGGACUCUAACCCGGAAGCUUACAAGAAAUCCCGCUAUGCCCUGCGACGAACCAUCAAACAGGCAAAGCGUCAAUACAGGGCUAAGAUGGAAUCAUACUACACCGGCUCCGACGCUCGUCGGAUGUGGCAGGGCUUGCAAACUAUUACAGAUUACAAAAGGAAGCACAGCCACGAGCUGCCCAUUGACACGAGCCUACCAGACGAGCUAAAUCACUUCUAUGCUCGCUUCGAGGCAAGCAACACUGAGGCAUGCAUAAGAGCAUCAGCUGUUCCGGACGACUGUGUGAUCACGCUCUCCGUAGCCGAGUAA
rnacentral:lncRNA from 8 species